CAGUCGCCGCGGUAAUACGAAGGGGGCUAGCGUUGUUCGGAAUUACUGGGCGUAAAGCGCACGUAGGCGGAUAUUUAAGUCAGGGGUGAAAUCCCAGAGCUCAACUCUGGAACUGCCUUUGAUACUGGGUAUCUUGAGUAUGGAAGAGGUGAGUGGAAUUCCGAGUGUAGAGGUGAAAUUCGUAGAUAUUCGGAGGAACACCAGUGGCGAAGGCGGCUCACUGGUCCAUUACUGACGCUGAGGUGCGAAAGCGUGGGGAACAAACAGGAUUAGAUACCCCCGUAGUCCCUGUCUCUUAUAC
rnacentral:rRNA from 1 species